GACGAACGCUGGCGGCGUGCCUAAUACAUGCAAGUAGAACGCACAGUUUAUACCGUAGCUUGCUACACCAUAGACUGUGAGUUGCGAACGGGUGAGUAACGCGUAGGUAACCUGCCUGGUAGCGGGGGAUAACUAUUGGAAACGAUAGCUAAUACCGCAUAAUAUUAAUUAUUGCAUGAUAAUUAAUUGAAAGGUGCAAUUGCACCACUACCAGAUGGACCUGCGUUGUAUUAGCUAGUAGGUGAGGUAACGGCUCACCUAGGCGACGAUACAUAGCCGACCUGAGAGGGUGAUCGGCCACACUGGGACUGGGACACGGCCCAGAGUCCUACGGGAGGCAGCAGUAGGGAAUCUUCGGCAAUGGACGAAAGUCUGACCGAGCAACGCCGCGUGAGUGAAGAAGGUUUUCGGAUCGUAAAGCUCUGUUGUAAGAGAAGAACGGGUGUGAGAGUGGAAAGUUCACACUGUGACGGUAUCUUACCAGAAAGGGACGGCUAACUACGUG
rnacentral:rRNA from 1 species